rnacentral:rRNA from 1 species
AGAGUUUGAUCCUGGCUCAGGACGAACGCUGGCGGCGUGCCUAACACAUGCAAGUCGCACGGGGUAGCAAUACCCAGUGGCAGACGGGUGCGUAACACGUGAGGAACAUGCCGAUCGGUGGGGGAUAGCCGGCCCAACGGCCGGGUAAUACCGCGUAUCACCGCGUGGGGGCAUCCCCGUGCGGUGAAAGCAGCAAUGCGCCGAUCGAGUGCCUCGCGGCCUAUCAGCUAGUUGGUGGGGUAAUGGCCCACCAAGGCUACGACGGGUAGCUGGUCUGAGAGGAUGAUCAGCCACAUUGGGACUGAGACACGGCCCAGACUCCUACGGGAGGCAGCAGUGGGGAAUAUUGCGCAAUGGCCGAAAGGCUGACGCAGCGACGCCGCGUGUGGGAUGAAGGUCUUCGGAUCGUAAACCACUGUCGCGAGGGACGAAAUUCUGACGGUACCUCGAAAGGAAGCACCGGCUAACUCUGUGCCAGCAGCCGCGGUAAUAC